rnacentral:SRP_RNA from 2 species
GCUGGGUGUGGUGGCGGGCACCUGUAAUCCCAGCUACUCAGGAGGCUGAGGCAGGAGAAUUGCUUGAACCCGGGAGGCGGAGGCUGCAGUGAGCCGAGAUCAUGUCACUGCAGUCCAGCCUGGGUGACAGAGCAAGACUCCAUCUCAG